CCUACGGGAGGCUGCAGUGAGGAAUAUUGGUCAAUGGGCGCGAGCCUGAACCAGCCAAGUAGCGUGAAGGAUGACUGCCCUACGGGUUGUAAACUUCUUUUAUAAAGGAAUAAAGUGAGGCACGUGUGCCUUUUUGUAUGUACUUUAUGAAUAAGGAUCGGCUAACUCCGUGCCAGCAGCCGCGGUAAUACGUAGGGAGCAAGCGUUGUCCGGAAUUACUGGGCGUAAAGGGCGCGUAGGUGGGCGCUUAAGUCAGGUGUGAAAACUCCGGGCUCAACCUGGAGACUGCACUUGAAACUGGGUGUCUUGAGGGCAGGAGAGGAAAGUGGAAUUCCUAGUGUAGCAGUGAAAUGCGUAGAUAUCGAGAGGAACACUCGUGGCGAAGGCGGGUUCCUGGACAUUAACUGACGCUGAGGCACGAAGGCCAGGGGAGCGAAAGGGAUUAGAUACCCCAGUAGUC
rnacentral:rRNA from 1 species